AGGAUCCAAAUGAAGAUACAGAAUGGAAUGAAAUUUUAAGGAAUUUUGGCAUUCUUCCUCCAAAAGAAGAACCAAAAGAUGAAAUUGAAGAGAUGGUGUUGCGCUUACAGGAGGAAGCAAUGGUUAAGCCAUAUGAGAAGAUGACACUUGCACAGCUGAAAGAAGCAGAAGACGAAUUUGAUGAAGAAGACAUAAAAGCUAUAGAAAUAUAUAGAGAAAAGCGGUUACAGGAAUGGAAAGCACUCACGAAGAAACAAAAAUUUGGGGAAUUGAGAGAAAUUUCUGGAAAUCAGUAUGUAAAUGAAGUCACAAAUGCAGAAAAAGACUUGUGGGUUAUAAUUCAUCUAUACAGAUCAAGUGUCCCAAUGUGUUUGGUGGUUAACCAGCAUCUGAGUGUCCUAGCAAGAAAGUUUCCAGAAACCAAAUUUGUUAAAGCCAUCGUGAAUAGCUGCAUUGAACACUACCAUGACAACUGUUUACCAACAAUUUUUGUUUAUAAAAAUGGUCAGAUAGAAGGCAAAUUCAUUGGAGUUAUAGAAUGUGGAGGGAUAAAUCUCAAGCUAGAAGAACUUGAAUGGAAACUAUCACAAGUUGGAGCAAUACAGACUGACUUGGAAGAAAACCCCAAAAAGGGCAUUGCAGAUAUGAUGGUGUCUUCCAUUAGGAACGUUUCCAUCUAUGACAGUGACAGCUCUGGCAGUGAUGCUGAGGCCAAGUAGAGCUGGUUAAUAAAGAGCUUUACAAUAGGG
rnacentral:lncRNA from 1 species